UAUUAAAAAUUCCAUCAAUUUCUAUUGUUAAAAUCUGACAUGGUUGAUAGAAUAAUCAAAUAGUUACACUUGGUGUGCCACGUAUAUCUCAUUAUCUUAUAGGGACGUUUUUUAACAAUAGAAUUAGAUGAAAUUUUUAACA
rfam:Gossypium arboreum cultivar AKA8401 contig_16365_7, whole genome shotgun sequence.